ACAAGUUAUUAGAAAUAAUUAGUUGAGUGCACUAAAAAUGAAAAUGUUUGUGAAGUUCUUUUUUGUGUCAGUUAUCUUGGCAGUUUUCUUAUUGCAUUCUGCAGAAUGUAAAUACAGAAUGCAACGAUCAGUCAUGCAAAGUGCUGCUGACACAAUAACCCAAAUCAUGCAGUCGGAUUUAGUUGCCGCCCUUAGGACUUUUAUAGUGGGUUUUAUGAAAAACCUUAUGAAGUGCAUGUUACACAAAAAUUCAGGCGGAAUUACUCAAAGUUCGAAUUCCGAAAAUCACCAUUAAGGGCUGAAAAAAUUGGAUAUGCCAAAUUUUUGGAAAGAGCAAGCAUAGUUUCAUGGACAGAAUAUAUCUAAAAAUGCAGAAAAAUGCUUAAUGACGGAUCCAUCACCUUAUGUAUAUUUAAACAAAGGUUGAAGAAUAAAAUCAAGAACAUAGAAA